rnacentral:misc_RNA from 1 species
UUUCCGUAGGUGAACCUGCGGAAGGAUCAUUAACGAGUUAGGAUCUUCUAGGCCCUACCUCCCAACCACCUGUUUACUGAACCAGUGCUGCCUCGGUGGGUCCGUCUUACGACCGCCGGGGGAUCGCCGCGAGCCCCCCCCUGGCCAGCGCCCACCGAUAGCCCAACCUUUACAAACCUUUGUGAAUUGUGUCUUAUGUCUAAAUUUAUGAUUAAACAAUCAAAACAAAACUUUCAACAACGGAUCUCUUGGUUCUG